AAAGUAGCGCAAUGCAAGUGAAGUGAGUUUCGGUUCAGAGAGAGUUGUUGCAGAAUAGCAGCUUCAACACAGUAACAAACAGAAACAGAAGAAGAAGCUUCUGAGUUAUCCGUCGAUUCGCUGAACAUCAAUAGCUUCCAAUGGCGUCAAAUAGCCAAUCACCGCCUCUCGAGAUAUUAGUUCGAGGACCCGAACAAUUUUCUCUCUGGACGGGGCCACCCUUCGCCGACGGUCAACCCGCCGUCAAGCUCGAAAAAGUUAACUGCAUCAAUGCCAAGUUCAGCGACGAUGGAUCCAAGCUCAUGAUCACCAAAUCCAACUCGUUGAUUACUGUGUACGAUUGCAACACUGCUAAAGAGAUUAGGGCUUUUGAAGUUCCCAAUGUCGUUGCCGCUACGUUGUCACCCUGUGGAACUUACUUGCAAACCUUUCAGAAACCUUCGGCGCCGCAGGAGAAGAACGUCACGCUGUGGAAAAUCGACACUGGUUCUCCUGUUUACCAACAGUCGCAAAAAAACAUGACAAAAGGCAAUUGGCCUGCGAUUCAGUUUAGUUCUGAUGAAGCUACUGCGUGUCGGUUGGCAACUAAUGAGGUGCAGUUUUUUGACACUGGGGAUUUUUCUAAAGGAGUUACCAUUCGGUUAAGAGUUCCGGGGGUUGCUGCUGCUGAGCUUUCUAGUUUACCGGGGUCCCAUGUAGCUGCAUUUGUUCCAGAAUCCAAGGGGGUUCCUGCAAGUGUACAGAUAUAUGCUAGCAGAAAUGCGUCUCAAAGUCAACCUGUUGCUCGACGUAGUUUUUUCCGAUGUUCAACCACCCAACUUAAAUGGAAUCAUGGCUCAACUGGGCUUCUAGUGGUGGUGCAGUCAGAUGUUGACAAAACUAAUCAGAGUUACUAUGGAGAAUCAAAAUUAUGCUAUUUGACAACAGAUGGAAUGCAUGAAGGACUUGUGCCUCUCCGGAAAGAUGGGCCUAUUCAUGAUGCUCAGUGGUCAUAUUCUGGCUUGGAAUUUGCUGUUGUGUAUGGAUUCAUGCCUGCUAAAGCAACUUUGUUCGACAAGAAGUGCAAUCCUCUUCUAGAGCUUGGAACUGGUCCUUACAACACUAUUCGUUGGAACCCAAAAGGGAAAUUUUUAUGUUUGGCUGGCUUUGGUAACUUGCCCGGUGAUAUGGUAUUCUGGGAUUACAUAGAUAAAAAGCAACUUGGAACCACUAAGGCUGAAUGGUCUGUGACUAGUGAAUGGUCACCAGAUGGGUGCUAUUUCAUGACAGCUACAACAGCUCCUAGGCUUCAAGUUGACAAUGGGAUCAAGAUUUUUCACUACAAUGGGUCAUUGUACUUCAAGAAGAUGUUUGACAAAUUGUACCAGGACAGUGCCCUUAAGGUCACUGAUGGUGGCACCCAAUUCAAGGAAGAUGUUUGGUCCAAGCCCCGCGACAGUGCCGAUUGGGAGAAGGCUAGGGUUAAUGUCUCUCUUGUUUAUGGUGUUAUGCCACAUGAUGCUUAUCGUGCUGCCAAGGGUGCCCUUACUGUCAAAAACCCAGUCCUGUGCCAUCCUUUGCUGCUGGAAUCAGCUUCGUUUAUCACCCAAAGAACCCGUUUGCCCUCACUCCUCUCCUAUGUUGUGAGGAGGACUGAGUGUGAUUAUAGGAAAACAAAUUUGGAGCUUGUGGCAAUGACGAAGUUGUCGGUGGUCUAAGUAGUGAUUCAUUGCAAUUUUGUGUGUGUGUGGGAUUGGAAGCAUGGAAACGUUGCUUGUGAAAGGUUGGUAAGUUUGUUUUUCCGUUUUUUGUUCAUGAAUUGGGGGUUUUGAUGGUUUAGGGUUUGGUAUUAUUGUUGGUUUGGGUGGAAUGACAUUUGAAUAAUGAUAGUAAACUGUUAGGUUAUGGUUGUGCAAUGAAAUCCUAGUGUUGUAUAUCUUGAUCUAUGCGGAGGAGUCGUGGAUCGAAAUCUACAGCAUCAUCAUCUUCACAUUUAGGAAGGACCAAAAGUUUGUAGUUACGGGGAAAGAUUGUUGCUUCUCAAAGCCAACACAUUGAAGAACAAAUGAAGAAUGUUCUGGAGAUAUAGAAACUGGAGAAUAAAUAAGAAAAUUUAAUAUUAGUAUUGAAUUUUGUUAUAAUGGUUAGUGGUUUUUACUCAACAGCAACAGCAGCAAAGCACACCAAUAUACAAGGGCAACACACAAAGCAGCAAAAGGGGGACCUUUUUCUGUGUGGACUUCCUUCUAGUCUUUUUUCAAAUCGACAUCAAACCAGCCCUGCAAAUAUGAGAGGGGCAAACGUGCAAUUUCCAACUAAAACAUGUCAAUAUGCCAAACCAGACCCAGACACGUGGAGGUUGAUUGGAAACCAGAGUCACCCAGUAAGUUUGGUGAUAUUGCUGAAUUAAUCAAGUCUCUAAAUUUGGUCCAACUUGAAGAUAAAAAACCAGCAG